GAGGAGGAGGGGGCUGCUUCGGAGCCUCGCCUCCCGCUAUGGAGGGGGAACGGCCGCACCGGCACCGGCGAUCAGCACUGGGUUGCUUGGAGAGGGCUCCCGCAGGCGUGCGCGCCACCGAGCUCGGACGUGCGCGGCCCGGGGGCGGGGGCGGAGCGCGCCACCCCUCGCCGGUCUGGAGGGAAAGUUGGUGGCGGGCGCGCGCACAGGGUCCAGCGGCGGCCCACCCGCAAUCCCUACCGAGAGCUCAGCCCACGCUGCCUGGAGACUGUCGCCAUGGCAACCGGUUCUAAUUAAGAAUUCCAGGGUCCCUCCCGUCGAGUCUGUGGAGUGGGCUUUGCAGUUUACACGUGUUCAUCUCUAAUCUUCACUACAGCCCUUUAAGGCAAAGGAUAUUACCGUUAUGGCUGUUUUACCGAUGAGGAAACAAGCCUUAAAAAAACAGUGACUUUGCUCAAGGUCAGAAGCAAGCGAUGCAACAAGAAUUCAAUCCGUGGUUGAAAUGGUAGAUGGCACUUGUAAGUUUUCCACCACCCUAAAGCCCCUCCUUAGUUUCUGUAUAAUGCAUGUCAUUAUAUUAUAUUAUACUAUCAUAUAAUCUGUA